AUUGAACGCUGGCGGCAGGCCUAACACAUGCAAGUCGAACGAGUGGCGGACGGGUGUGUAAUGUCUGGGAAACUGCCCGAUGGAGGGGGAUAACUACUGGAAACGGUAGCUAAUACCGCAUACCAUCGGAUGUGCCCAGAUGGGAUUAGCUUUUAGGUGAGGUAACUGCUCACCUAGGCGACGAUCCCUAGCUGGUCUGAGAGGAUGACCAGCCACACUGGAACUGAGACACGGUCCAGACGCCUACGGGAGGCAGCAGUGGGGAAGAUGGCACAAGGGGCGCAAGCCUGAGGCAGCCAUGCCGCGUGUAUGAAGAAGGCCUUAGGGUUGUAAAGUACUUUCAGUGGGGAGGCGUUACCCGAAGAAGAAGCACCGGCUAACUCCGUGCCAGCAGCCGCGGUAAUAC
rnacentral:rRNA from 1 species